rnacentral:rRNA from 1 species
AACGAACGCUGGCGGCAUGCCUAACACAUGCAAGUCGAACGAGACCUUCGGGUCUAUUCUCGCACGGGUGCGUCACGCGUGGGAACCUGCCCUUAGGGUCGGAAUAACUCCCCGAAAGGGGUGCCAAUACCGGAUAAUGUCUUCUGCCCAAAGAUUUAUUGCCUUUGGAUGUGCCGGAGUUGGAUUAGCUAGUUGUUAGGGUAAAAGCCUACCAAGGCGACGAUCCAUAGCUGGUCUGAGAGGCUGAUCAGCCACACUGGGACUAGGAAACGGCCCAGACUCUUACGGGAGGCAGCAGUGGGGAAUAUUGCAAAAUGGGCGAAAGGAUGAUCCAGCACUGCCGCGUGAGUGAUGAAGGCAUUAGGGUUGUAAAGCUCAUUUAACCGGGAUGAUAAUGACAGUACCGGGAGAAUAAGCCACGGCUAACUACGUG